AGCGAACGCUGGCGGCAGGCCUAAAACAUGCAAGUCGAACGCCCUAGCAAUAGGGAGUGGCGCACGGGUGAGUAACAUGUGGGAAUAUGCCUUUUGGUACGGAACAACGUUUGGAAACGAACGCUAAUACCGUAUGGUCCCUCCGGGGUAAAGAUUUAUCGCCAAAAGAUUAGCCCGCACUAGAUUAGCUAGUUGGUAAGGUAAUGGCUUACCAAGGCGACGAUCUAUAGCUGUUCUGAGAGGAAGAUCAGCCACACUGGGACUGAGACACGGCCCAGACUCCUACGGGAGGCAGCAGUUAGGAAUAUUGGACAAUGGGCGCAAGCCUGAUCCAGCCAUGCCGCGUGAGUGAUGAAGGCCUUCGGGUUGUAAAGCUCUUUAGCCGACGAAUAUAAUGACUGUAGUCGGAGAAUAAGCCCCGGCUAACUUCGUGCCAGCCGCCGCAGUAAAAC
rnacentral:rRNA from 1 species